UAACUGAAUUUUAGAUGUAAUACUAACAGAUGUGAUGAAAGUGAUAACUUUCAAUAGGGGUAAAAGUAAUAAAAAAUGAUGAGGGGUAAAAGUAAUAAAAAAUGAUAGUUUAGGGGGUGUUUAUAUAAUUACGCCUAAAGGUUACUUAGCCAUUAGGCUAGUUCUUGAAGUGGCCGGACUAACGGUUAACGGCUAACAGACGGAGGUAAACCGUUUGGAUUGCAACAGUUAAGCCCGCCCAAUGUGGACUUGGGCCGAGGUAAUAAAAUAAUUGGAUCCUCUUCCAACAUUCUCUGUUGGGAUAUCUUGGGAGCUUUGAGCUAGAGCCUGACACGUUGCAGCCCUUUCAUCCAAAGGUUGGAGAUUAGCCACCGCUUCAAUUCUUAAAACUUCGUAUAAAAAAUUUAUUUUUUUUGAUUCUUCUUUACGAGUCAAAAAAUAUAAAAAAAAUAUCAAAUUUAAAAUACAAAUCACCAAGCACGAAAAAUAUGACUUGUAUACCCAAAAUCUCUAAUUUUAAAUAAAAUCACUAAAAAUAAAAAAUAUUUAUUUUCAAACGAUGAAAAUAAUUCACUAGAGAUUAAAAAAACUUUAAAAUCGAAGCAUCCAAAAAAAUAAACACAAAGAUAAUAAUUAAACCAAAUGGAGCCUAAAUAAGUUUUUUAUUUUUUGUAAACUUUUUCCAAAAAUAAUAUUUUUUUUUCAAAUUUGAUAUAUUUUAUAUUUUUUUUAUUUAUCUCGUAAAAUAAUAAAAAAAAAUUAUCUCAAAAAAUAAUAAAAAAAAUUGAUCAAAUAAUAAAAUAAUUUACUAAAGAUAAAAAAAUUUAAAAAUCGAAGCAGUUAAAAAAUUAUUACCCUAGACAGAGCUUAAAUAAGUAGAGAGAGAAGCUCAGGCUCCGUUUGAUAAUGCUUAAAAGUCAAAAUUUUUUUAAACUUAUUAUCAAAAAAGUCAAUAUUUUUUAUUUUUUUUUACUUUUCUGGCUUUACUUUAUCUACAAAUAAAUAAAAAUUAAAAAAUUAAAAAAAAAUGCUUAUAAACUUAAAAAAAAUCAUCCAAAAACCUGAUACCGAACGGAAUCUCAAUGUGAGAUAAACUCUUUAGCUAUGAUUUAUCAUAAAGUUAUAAAUUGUUAAAGUAUUUAAAAUUUUAAAUAACGUGGCUCCAACUAGUGGGCUUCAAAUGGAUUCGGACCCAUUUGGACAAUUUUGCCCACUUGUUAGGAGAUUCUAAUUGAAUAAUGAUUGAUACACACUCAAAAGUGAAUGCGUACAAAAUAUACUUAUUUUGUCCUCUUACAAAAUAAGUAGAACCCAUUCUAAUUAGAAUUUUUAAAAAAGCGUGAAAAUGGCGGGUCCCACUUAUUUUAUGAGAGGACAAAAAUGGGUGUGUCUUGUACAUACUUACUUUUGGGUGUGUACCUAUCACUCAUUUGUGCUGUGUUCCAAAUAAGCUAGGCUUCUAUGUGAUCGUAACAUACAAAGACUUCAACAUUCCCCCACGUGUUAACAUCUUAGUGGGUUGGUCAUGACUAAGUGACCCCACAAGUAUCUGCGAACAGUUUGAAGUUUGUUCAGAUGGUAUGAGCUACUUACACGGAAUAGUUCUCUCGCGAAAAUAUUGAUAAACUAAUUUGUGCCAGCAAAAGGUCGGCGGACAUGUGACUGUAAUUACACCGAAAAAAUUGCUAAUCAGUUUGAGAUUUAUUUUCCGUUUUUUACUUGUGAAACGACAAAAUUAUCGUAGCACCCUUGAGGUUUAUUGCUAAUACAUAAGCACCCCUAAUGUCUAAGAUUUACAUUUUCUUCACUUAGGUUUAUAGUCACAUUACAACUCAACCACCGAUACCGCACGCUGCUCUUAUUCUCCCUCUCAUCUAUUCUCCUCUCUGUCUCUGUCUCUCACCCCCUAAUUUGUCUACAUUCUUUUCCCAAUCUUUGUUUCUCUACAUCUCUUAUUAUCUCUACCGCCAACAUCUAUAUAGAUAUCUUCGCCAUAGCCACAAAAAUGCUACCAUCUAGCUUUGAUAUUUAAAAAAUAUUUUUUUCCUUAGAUCUAUUUGUCCUUUUCUCUUUUUGGUUGUUCAUAUCAAGAUAUGUUUUGUUCACCAAAAACCGAUUCAAUUGUUCAACACCCAACUCGACACAUCGAAUUUGCUAAUUUUUAUGGCCCUGAUGAAAGGGCUGGUUGAUUCUAGUGGAGAGUGGUUAUGAUUGGGAGUGAUUAUAGUAGGAUGGUGUUCAAGUGAGAGGAAAGAUCAAUACAAGCUUUCGUAGUUUGACAAAUCAAGAACUAUAGGAUGGGGCAGGGAAUAUCAUGUUAGAAAUUAAGGGAAGCAAGGUUAUUUAGUAUUUCUAUUAACUGCAGUUAAGAGACACAUUUCAAUAGGGAGGUAAUAUUAGUGUAAUUUUCAAUACCUCAAACUUCAAAAGAAGUGAUUGUAAUCAUCUCUGAAUGAGGAGUUUAUUGUCUUUUAAAAUGAUGGAGUAUAUGAUUACCAAA
rnacentral:lncRNA from 1 species